rnacentral:rRNA from 1 species
UGGGGAAUCUUGCACAAUGGGGGCAACCCUGAUGCAGCGACGCCGCGUGAGCGAUGAAGCCCUUCGGGGCGUAAAGCUCUUUCGACCGGAACGAUAAUGACGGUACCGGGAGAAGAAGCUGCGGCUAACUACGUGCCGGCAGCCGCGGUAAUACGUAGGCAGCAAGCGUUGUUCGGAGUUACUGGGCGUAAAGAGUGCGUGGCGGUUUUCUAAGUUCGGUGUGAAAUCUCCCGGCUUAACUGGGAGGGUGCGCCGAAGACUGGGAAGCUGGAGUGUGGGAAAGGCAGGCGGAAUGCCUGGUGUAGCGGUGAAAUGCGUAGAUAUCAGGAGGAACACCGGCGGUGUAGACGGCUUGCUAGACCAUAACUGACGCUGAGGCACGAAAGCGUGGGUAGCAAACA